ACGCUCCACUCGACGAGGGCUUCGCGGGAUAUUAAUUUCAAAAUUUUCCGACAACGUUUUUCGAUGGGUCCCACGGAAAUUCGCAGUGUAUUCUCAUUUCGCGGAAAUUCGACAGUUGACCGGGUCUGCGAAAUUCCGGCCAGACAGACCCGUUACCGGAAAAGUCUCCGAAUUGGGCCGAGAUUUUGCCUACCCCCCCAUUGUCAGACGUCCCGAGCGCGUCCCCGAAGUCGGAAUCGGCAAAGGUGAGCCGGGACAGCCUUCUUCCUCCGCCCAGCCACCACAGUGAUUUGUCGUCAAGUCUGCCACAGGAGGAUAUUUUGUUCUGGGUUAACCUGCUUUUCUACCUCGCAGGUUGUUUAUCAAUAUUGUGUAAUUUUAAUUACUCCUAGAAUUUCCGCAUGUGUUAGCAGUAUUUAUUUGAAUUUGGUCUGUAAUAUUUUUAUCAUGUUGGACCUGUAAACUUAAAUAUGUUAUGCAUGUUGAUGGAUUGGAUGAGGGAGCUGAGCUCCCAUUUAUUUUAUGUUGAUGAGUAUGUGGAGGGUGAGCUGAGCUCCCCAAUUGAGUA